rnacentral:rRNA from 1 species
CCGCAUGGUGCAGGGGUAAAAACUCCGGUGGUGUGAGAUGGGCCCGCGUCUGAUUAGGUAGUUGGUGAGGUAACGGCUCACCAAGCCGACGAUCAGUAGCCGACCUGAGAGGGUGACCGGCCACAUUGGGACUGAGACACGGCCCAAACUCCUACGGGAGGCAGCAGUGGGGAAUAUUGCACAAUGGGGGAAACCCUGAUGCAGCGACGCCGCGUGAGCGAUGAAGUAUUUCGGUAUGUAAAGCUCUAUCAGCAGGGAAGAAACUGACGGUACCUGACUAAGAAGCACCGGCUAAAUACGUGCCAGCAGCCGCGGUAAUACGUAUGGUGCAAGCGUUAUCCGGAUUUACUGGGUGUAAAGGGAGCGUAGACGGACUUGCAAGUCUGAAGUGAAAGCCCGGGGCUCAACCCCGGGACUGCUUUGGAAACUGUUUAUCUAGAGUGCUGGAGAGGUAAGUGGAAUUCCUAGUGUAGCGGUGAAAUGCGUAGAUAUUAGGAGGAACACCAGUGGCGAAGGCGGCUUACUGGACAGUAACUGACGUUGAGGCUCGAAAGCGUGGGGAGCAAACAGGAUUAGAUACCCUGGUAGUCCACGCCGUAAACGAUGACUACUAGGUGUCGGGUGGCAAAGCCAUUCGGUGCCGCAGCAAA